rnacentral:rRNA from 1 species
AGUAGUUUGAUCAGUGGCUCAGGACAACGCUGGCGGUGUGCCUCAUACAUGCAAGUCGAACGAUAAGGUCUCUUCGGAGAUACAUAAGUGGCGGACGGGUGAGUACAACAUAGGAAAUCUGCCUUAGGGUGGGGGACAACAGAGGGAAACUCCUGCUAAUACCCCAUAUGAGCUAACUUGAAAUAGUUAUCUUGAAAACUCCGGUGCCCUAAGAUGAGCCUGUGCCUGAUUAGCUGGUUGGUGGUGUAAUGGACUACCAAGGCGAUGAUCAGUAGCUGGUUUGAGAGGAUGAUCAGCCACAAUGGGACUGAGACACGGCCCAUACUCC